CUGAUAGUUCUCUAGUGGGAGUUGUGUAAGUGAUCCUUUCACUUGAGAUUAUCAUGAUACCUUAUGUACAUGAAUCCAUAUUUUGAUUCACUUCUUAACUUGAUUCUCUGAUUGUUGCAUGGGGUGUUCUGGAUGUGGUGAAGUAUGCAUGGAGAUUGUGAGUGAUCAAUAAGGUAUCAAUCACUCCUAAUAACGGGAGCGAACAUCCUAUGUGAUCUCAUAGAUCGAUGAUUCUGGAAGUCUUUGACCAAAGUAG
rnacentral:lncRNA from 1 species